GACGAACGCUGGCGGCGUGCUUAACACAUGCGAGUCGAACGGAAAGGCCCUGCUUUUGUGGGGUGCUCGAGUGGCGAACGGGUGAGUAACACGUGAGUAACCUGCCCUUGACUUUGGGAUAACUUCAGGAAACUGGGGCUAAUACCGGAUAGGAGCUCCUGCUGCAUGGUGGGGGUUGGAAAGUUUCGGCGGUUGGGGAUGGACUCGCGGCUUAUCAGCUUGUUGGUGGGGUAGUGGCUUACCAAGGCUUUGACGGGUAGCCGGCCUGAGAGGGUGACCGGCGACAAUGGGACUGAGAUACGGACCAGACGCCUACGGGAGGCAGCAGUGGGGAAUAUUGCACAAUGGGCGGAAGCGUGAGGCAGCAACGCCGCGUGCGGGAUGACGGCCUUCGGGUUGUGAACCGCUUUCGCCUGUGACGAAGCGUGAGUGACGGUAAUGGGUAAAGAAGCACCGGCUAACUACGUG
rnacentral:rRNA from 1 species